CUUUCUCCCUCUUUUCCAAAGCCAUUCUCUUCCUUUGUCAUACCAUUUUCUUUCCUUAAUCAGUGUGUUUUUUUCUCCACUGCCUUUCUUUCCUUUUACUGCCCCCAUCCCAGUCUCCAUCCCUUCUCAUUGGUACCUGUCCCUUUUGUACAGGCGUAAAUGACUGCAUAAAGUGCACAGCUGUGGAGAAUCAAGCCUUCAGUUUCUGUCACUUCCUGAAUCAUUCUGUAACUUCCUUGGAGCCAUCCUGCUACUGGGAGGCCACAGGAAACUACAACCAAGCCUUCACUGGCUAUGGAGGUGAAUGUGACAGCAGCAUCCAGGAGCCCAACCCUGCCAUCAGAUGUUCAUGCUUGCAUGACCCAGUUUACAAAUAUCUAUAUAGGCAGCAGCGUAGUCUUCAUUUGUUCUGCCAUGCUGCGUACCAGGAGAAAAGUAAUCUGAUCUACACCUUGAAUGGAAACGGAAAACCAUAUAAAUGGGGAAAGCAUUGAAGAACCAUGAUUAUAUUGAAGACACUGCAAUAUAAAUACUGGUAAAGGUGUUCUAUUGCUAUUUAUCUUUACAUGGGUUGCUAGUAGUGAUCAUUUAUAGGUAAGGGUGAGUUCCAGUUUCUAUACUACUGCCGCUUUUUCCAAUUGGUUAUAACUUUCCUGAACUAACUUUUCUUUUCUCUUUCUGGUUCAAAAUUUUUCAGAUUGGUCUCCGCUGAAAAAUGAAUGUUUAUUUUGGGAAAAUUUAAACAAAAUUGUUCCAACGUUCAGUUAAAGGAAAGUAUAUUUUUUCCAUAUUUGCCUUUGAUUAACUUACACAUUUGAAUAGUUGGUGAUUUGGGGAGGAUGCAUUUGUAAAGAUACCAAAGUGUAGGGAAGGCCGUCAAUUAAGGAUAUCUUUAUUAAAGAAUCCAUUAGUUACAGCCACCUCACUUUAAGGUGUCAGGUAAAAGUGCACUGUGAGGUUUUUUUUUUUCAGCACUUGAGAAAAUCAACUACAAAAAUUAGCAUUGAUGUGAUGUUAAAGUCACAAAAUCAAGAACUCUCCAUAGGAAAUCUCAAAAGUUAAGGUUUUACCACAGUGUUAACUCAGUCACAUUAUUCAAAUAUAGUACUUUAUAUUGUAGUUUACCUUCUGAAUUGCAAACCUUAUCAUAUUACUAUGUAACCUAUAAUAUAUUUUACAGGAUAUACAAAGUUAUUACAGUGGUAGGAAACUUAAUGUUGGCUAUUUCCUUUAUAUGUGAAUGCUUGAUUUCUCAGCAUUAACUGUAAUUCU
rnacentral:lncRNA from 1 species